ACGGGAGGCAGCAGUGAGGAAUAUUGGUCAAUGGGCGGGAGCCUGAACCAGCCAAGUAGCGUGGAGGAUGACGGCCCUACGGGUUGUAAACUCCUUUUGCCGGGGGAUAAAAACGGGACGUGUCCCGUCUUGCAGGUACCCGCGCGAAUAAGGACCGGCUAAUUCCGUGCCAGCAGCCGCGGUAAUACGGAAGGUCCGAGCGUUAUCCGGAUUUAUUGGGUUUAAAGGGUGCGCAGGCGGAGAUGCAAGCCAGCCGUAAAAUCGUGGGGCUCAACCCCAUUCAGCGGUUGGAACUUCAUCCCUUGAUUGCGGCAGAGGGAGGUGGAACUCGUGGUGUAGCGGUGAAAUGCAUAGAUAUCACGAAGAACUCCGAUUGCGAAGGCAGCCUCCUGGACCGUAAAUGACGCUCAUGCACGAAGGCGCGGGUAUCAAACAGGAUUAGAUACCCUGGUA
rnacentral:rRNA from 1 species